rnacentral:lncRNA from 1 species
GAAACAAGCCCCAUCUUCUUCAGAUUGCAAUCACGAGGGACUGGAAGAACAUGAAGCCAGAGGGUUACUCAAAGCAAAGAGACUCGGGAGUGACCAAGGAGACAAGCCCUUCAGGAGAGAACAAGGAAGAAAGAGGAAGACUGAAGAGUAACUGUGCAUUGGUGUCUAGCAUAGCCGUUAGAUUUCCCUCUGUCCUGGGACUGGUUCUAGGGCUUUGUGUGUGCUGAGCAUGCGUCCUACGACUCAGGUACAUCCCUCGCCCGUCAGAUCUACUGAAGACAGAACAGUUGUUCUGACCUACAUGAACCAAUGAGACGGGCCAUGCAGAAACCCCUAAAUUCCAUUCUCCUUUCAUGCAUAUAUAUUAUGUAUUCUUUGUUUUGUUUUGAAAUGA